rnacentral:tRNA from 1 species
CAGGGAGACAACAAAAUGUUUAAUAUUAUUAUUUUGUCACCUUAGGUCGAUCGGUAUCUCACUUUUUUAAUUUAUUAAGAAUUUCAUUUCCUAAGUUUUUCUAGGUCACACCCAUUAUUUUUCCUGGGCCAUUAGCUCAGGUGGUUAGAGCGCACCCCUGAUAAGGGUGAGGUCCCUGGUUCAAGUCCAGGAUGGCCCAUAUCUCUAUGUUGGGGGUAUAGCUCAGUUGGUAGAGCGCCUGCUUUGCAAGCAGGAUGUCAGCGGUUCGAGUCCGCUUACCUCCACUGAUUACCACCUCUUCCAUAAUUUUUGGAGAAAGGAAAUCUUUUGAGUUGUGAUCAAAUUCUGAACGAAUCUAGCUUCCUAAUGAAAUCAUUAAGAUGCUGGACUCAUUGAAUUAAUUUCAUUGUUUUCAGAGAACCUUGACAACUGCAUAGAUUAUUUUUAAAGACAAUAAGCAUCUUUAAUGAUGCAGAUUUAUUAUUUGUGCGAAUGCAUUAAUAACAAUUCUAUUAAGCUGAUGCUUCAAUUUUGAAGUUAUU